rnacentral:rRNA from 1 species
UACGUAGGGGGCAAGCGUUGUCCGGAAUCAUUGGGCGUAAAGGGCGCGCAGGCGGCUUUGUUUGUCAGGCGUGAAAGCCCCGGGCUUAACCUGGGAACUGCGUUUGAUACGGCAGGGCUAGAGUUCGGGAGAGGAGAGUGGAAUUCCCAGUGUAGAGGUGAAAUUCGUAGAUAUUGGGAAGAACACCGGUGGCGAAGGCGGCUCUCUGGACCGAUACUGACGCUGAGGCGCGAAAGCGUGGGGAGCAAACAGG